rnacentral:rRNA from 1 species
CCUACGGGUUGCAGCAGUGGGGAAUAUUGGACAAUGGGCGAAAGCCUGAUCCAGCAAUGUCGCGUGAGUGAUGAAGGCCUUAGGGUUGUAAAGCUCUUUUACCCGGGAUGAUAAUGACAGUACCGGGAGAAUAAGCUCCGGCUAACUCCGUGCCAGCGGCCGCGGUAAUACGGAGGGAGCUAGCGUUGUUCGGAAUUACUGGGCGUAAAGCGCACGUAGGCGGCUUUGUAAGUUAGAGGUGAAAGCCUGGAGCUCAACUCCAGAAUUGCCUUUAAGACUGCAUCGCUUGAAUCCAAGAGAGGUGAGUGGAAUUCCGAGUGUAGAGGUGAAGUUCGUAGAUAUUCGGAAGAACACCAGUGGCGAAGGCGGCUCACUGGCUUGGUAUUGACGCUGAGGUGCGAAAGCGUGGGGAGCAAACAGGAUUAGAUACCCGAGUAGUC